AGAUUGAACGCUGGCGGCAUGCCUUACACAUGCAAGUCGAACGGCAGCACGGGGGCAACCCUGGUGGCGAGUGGCGAACGGGUGAGUAACAUAUCGGAACGUGCCCUGGAGUGGGGGGAUAACUAGUCGAAAGAUUAGCUAAUACCGCAUACGAUCUACGGAUGAAAGUGGGGGAUCGCAAGACCUCAUGCUCGGUGAGCGGCGAUAUCUGAUUAGCUAGUUGGUGGGGUAAAGCCUACAAGCAUCAUCAGUAGCUGGUCUGAGAGGACGACCAGCCACACGUGGGACUGACGAC
rnacentral:rRNA from 1 species